UUAAAUUGAAGAGUUUGAUCAUGGCUCAGAUUGAACGCUGGCGGCAGGCCUAACACAUGCAAGUCGAACGGUAACAGGAUG
rnacentral:rRNA from 1 species